CUGUAGAAAUGUGUUAGCCUCUCGUUAGGCGAAACUUAAAUACAACUUUCAACAACGGAUCUCUUGGCUCUCGCAUCGAUGAAGAACGCAGCGAAAUGCGAUAAGUAAUGUGAAUUGCAGAAUUCAGUGAAUCAUCGAAUCUUUGAACGCACCUUGCGCUCCUUGGUAUUCCGAGGAGCAUGCCUGUUUGAGUGUCAUGUUAAUAUCAACUCCGUCGGUUUGUUAAUCAAACCGUUGGGUGUUGGACUUGGAGGUUCUUGCUGGCUGCAAAGUCGGCUCCUCUUGAAUGUAUUAGCUUGGGCCUGUUGUGCGUGCUCGCGGUGUAAUAAGUUUUAUUCAUCGUUUGGGUCGUACACUUAUUGGGCUUGCUUCUAACUGUCUUCGGACAAACAUAACCUUUGACUCUGACCUCAAAUCAGGUAGGACUACCCGCUGAACUUAAGCAUAUCAAUAAGCGGAGGAAAAGAAACUAACAAGGAUUCCCCUAGUAACUGCGAGUGAAGCGGGAAAAGCUCAAAUUUAAAAUCUGGCGGUUUCACCGUCCGAGUUGUAAUCUGGAGAAGCGUCUUCCGCGC
rnacentral:rRNA from 1 species